GGAAGUAAAAGUCGUAACAAAGUCUCCGUAGGUGAACCUGCGGAGGGAUCAUUACAGAGUUCUCGCCCUCGCGGGUAGAUCUCCCACCCACUGUUAUCGUUACUGUGUUGCUUUGGCGGGCCGCCGGGCCCCGCUCGGCCGCCGGCUCCGGCUGGCGCGCGCCCGCCAGAGGCCCAGCAAACUCUGAAUGUUAGUGUCGUCUGAGUACUAUAUAAUAGUUAAAACUUUCAACAACGGAUCUCUUGGUUCUG
rnacentral:misc_RNA from 1 species